rnacentral:rRNA from 1 species
UUAUGGCUCAGGACGAACGCUGGCGGCAUGCCUAACACAUGCAAGUCGAACGGAGUAAUGACUUCGGUUAUUACUAGUGGCGAACGGGUGAGUAACACGUGAAUAAUCUGCCCUGUACGAUGGGAUAACAGCUGGAAACGGCUGCUAAUACCGUAUAUGACCACGCCGAGGCAUCUCGGAGGGGUGAAAGCGCUUAAGCGGUACAGGAUGAGUUCGCGUCCAAUUAGCUAGUUGGUGAGGUAACGGCCCACCAAGGCGACGAUUGGUAGCCGACCUGAGAGGGUGAUCGGCCACACUGGAACUGAGACACGGUCCAGACUCCUACGGGAGGCAGCAGUGGGGAAUAUUGGGCAAUGGAGGAAACUCUUACCCAAGCAAUGCCGCGUGAGUGAUGAAGGUCCUCGGAUUGUAAAGCUCUUUGAUUGGGGACGAAUAAAUGACGGUACCCAAGGAACAAGCCCCGGCUAACUAUGUGCCAGCCGCGGC